GCCAUGAAGACGACUCUGCUCUUCCUCUUGUCGAUCUGUCUGACGUCUGCCCACAGUCGUGCCUCCGUCACAGUCGUCCCCAACAGGUCUCAGUACUUUGAGUACGAGGAGAUCUCUGUGAG